AAAAAAUUUUAUAGUUUUAUAAUUUUAUUUAAAUUUGUUUUACAUACAAAUUUUAGUGUUGAAUUUUGUUUAUUUUAAUAAUAAUUAAUUUAUUUGUAGUAAUCAAUUUUAAAUUAUUUAAGAAAUUAAGAUUUAGUAAUUAAAAAAUAAAUAACUAAUUUUGUGCCAGCAGUUGCGGUUAUACAAAAAUUUAAUUAAAAUUUUUCAGUAUUAAAAUAAAUAAAUAAAAUUAAAUUAAAAAUUAAAUUAUUAAGUAAAAUUUUAAUUUAAUAAAAAUUUAUAAAAUUUUUAUGAUUUAAUAAAUUUAUAAAAAGACUAGGAUUAGAUACCCUAUUAUUAAAAUUUAAAUUAAAAUACUAAAAUAGUAAAUAAUAAUUUAUUGAAACUUAAAUAAUUUGGCGGUAUUUUAGUUCAUUUAGAGGAAUCUGUUUAAUAAUUGAUAACCCACGAUUAAAUUUACUUAAUUUAAAAUUUUAUAUAUCGUUGUUAAAAAAAUAUUUUUAAAUAAAAAUAAUAUUUAAAAAUUAAUAUUAAAAAUUAAUUCAGAUCAAGAUGUAGAUUAUAAUUAAGAAUAUAAUGGAUUACAAUAAAUUUAUUUAAAUGAAUUUUUUUUUUUUAAAAUAAAAAUAAAAGUGGAUUUAAAUGUAAUUUUAUUUAAUAUAAUAAAAUGAUUAAAAAUUAGAAUAUGUACAUAUUGCCCGUCGCUUUCAUUUUAAAAUUGAAAUAAGUCGUAACAAAGUAGAAGUACUGGAAAGUGUUUCUAGAAUU
rnacentral:ncRNA from 1 species